rnacentral:rRNA from 1 species
GACGUUACCUACAGAAGAAGCACCGGCUAACUCCGUGCCAGCAGCCGGCGGUAAUACGGGAGGGUGCGAGCGUUAAGUCGGAAUUACGUGGGACGUAAAGCGCAUGCAGGCGGCCUAGUUAAGUCAGAUGUAGAAACGGCCCGGGGACUUAACCGUACGGUAAUUGCUAGUUUAGAAACGUGGCGAGGCUAGAGUCUUGUAGAGGGGGUAGAAUUUCAGGUGUAGCGGUGAAAUGCGUAGAGAUCUGAAGGAAUACCAGUGGCGAAGGCGGCCCCCUGGACAAAGACUGACGCUCAGAUGCGAAAGCGUGGGGAGCAAACAGGAUUAGAUACCCUGGUAA